rnacentral:rRNA from 1 species
GAUGAACGCUGGCGGCGUGCCUAAUACAUGCAAGUCGAGCGAACAGACGAGGAGCUUGCUCCUCUGACGUUAGCGGCGGACGGGUGAGUAACACGUGGAUAACCUACCUAUAAGACUGGGAUAACUUCGGGAAACCGGAGCUAAUACCGGAUAAUAUAUUGAACCGCAUGGUUCAAUAGUGAAAGACGGUUUUGCUGUCACUUAUAGAUGGAUCCGCGCCGCAUUAGCUAGUUGGUAAGGUAACGGCUUACCAAGGCGACGAUGCGUAGCCGACCUGAGAGGGGGAUCGGCCACAUGGGAACUGAGACACGGUCCAGACUCCUACGGGAGGCAGCAGUAGGGAAUCUUCCGCAAUGGGCGAAAGCUUGACGGAGCAACGCCGCGUGAGUGAUGAAGGUCUUCGGAUCGUAAAACUCUGUUAUUAGGGAAGAACAAAUGUGUAAGUAACUAUGCACGUCUUGACGGUACCUAAUCAGAAAGCCACGGCUAACUACGUG